rnacentral:rRNA from 1 species
UACGUAGGUGGCAAGCGUUGUCCGGAUUCACUGGGUGUAAAGGGUGCGCAGGCGGAUUUGUAAGUCAGAGGUGAAAUCUCACGGCUUAACCGUGAAACUGCCUUUGAUACUGCGGAUCUUGAGUUAGAGAGAGGUUGAUGGAAUUCCAGGUGUAGCGGUGAAAUGCGUAGAUAUCUGGAAGAACACCAGUGGCGAAAGGCGGUCAACUGGCUCUUAACUGACGCUCAUGCACGAAAGCGUGGGUAGCGAACAGGA